rnacentral:rRNA from 1 species
CUGGCGGCAUGCUUUACACAUGCAAGUCGAACGGUAACAGGUUAAGCUGACGAGUGGCGAACGGGUGAGUAAUGCAUCGGAACGUGCCCGGUCGUGGGGGAUAACGCAGCGAAAGCUGCGCUAAUACCGCAUACGAUCUGAGGAUGAAAGCGGGGGACCGUAAGGCCUCGCGCGAUCGGAGCGGCCGAUGUCAGAUUAGGUAGUUGGUGGGGUAAAGGCUCACCAAGGCGACGAUCUGUAGCUGGUCUGAGAGGACGACCAGCCACACUGGAACUGAGACACGGUCCAGACUCCUACGGGAGGCAGCAGUGGGGAAUUUUGGACAAUGGGCGCAAGCCUGAUCCAGCAAUGCCGCGUGCAGGAUGAAGGCCUUCGGGUUGUAAACUGCUUUUGUACGGAGCGAAAAGGUUCUCUCUAAUACAGGGGGCUCAUGACGGUACCGUAAGAAUAAGCACCGGCUAACUACGUGCCAGCAGCCGCGGUAAUACGUAGGGUGCGAGCGUUAAUCGGAAUUACUGGGCGUAAAGCGUGCGCAGGCGGUCUUGUAAGACAGAUGUGAAAUCCCCGGGCUCAACCUGGGACCUGCAUUUGUGACUGCAAGGCUGGAGUACGGCAGAGGGGGAUGGAAUUCCGCGUGUAGCAGUGAAAUGCGUAGAUAUGCGGAGGAACACCGAUGGCGAAGGCAAUCCCCUGGGCCUGUACUGACGCUCAUGCACGAAAGCGUGGGGAGCAAACAGGAUUAGAUACCCUGGUAGUCCACGCCCUAAACGAUGUCAACUGGUUGUUGGGUCUUAACUGACUCAGUAACGAAGCUAACGCGUGAAGUUGACCGCCUGGGGAGUAC